AAGCAACAGUGUUGGGUGGAGGAGGUGACGGAUUUUAAAAAUUCACCAAAACAUUGUACAGCACAUGAAGGAAGGAUGAAACUUCAAGAGAUAACGGACAGGUGGAGGGGUCUAAACCAGGAGGCACAAGAGAUUCUGCAAAUGCUGAAAAUCC